rnacentral:rRNA from 1 species
UGCAAGUCGAGCGAGAAAGGUCUUCGGACUGAGUAGAGCGGCGGACGGGUGAGUAACGCGUAGGAAUCUACCUAGUAGUGGGGGACAACAUGUGGAAACGCAUGCUAAUACCGCAUACGCCCUACGGGGGAAAGCGGGGGAUCUUCGGACCUCGUGCUAUUAGAUGAGCCUGCGUAAGAUUAGGUAGUUGGUGGGAUAAAAGCUUACCAAGCCGACGAUCUGUAGCUGGUCUGAGAGGACGACCAGCCACACUGGGACUGAGACACGGCCCAGACUCCUACGGGAGGCAGCAGUGGGGAAUUUUGGACAAUGGGCGAAAGCCUGAUCCAGCAAUGCCGCGUGCAGGAUGAAGGCCUUCGGGUUGUAAACUGCUUUUGUACGGAACGAAAAGGCUCUGGUUAAUACCUGGGGCACAUGACGGUACCGUAAGAAUAAGCACCGGCUAACUACGUGCCAGCAGCCGCGGUAAU